rnacentral:rRNA from 1 species
UACGUAGGGUGCAAGCGUUAAUCGGAAUUACUGGGCGUAAAGCGUGCGCAGGCGGUCCGCUAAGACAGAUGUGAAAUCCCCGGGCUUAACCUGGGAACUGCAUUUGUGACUGGCGGGCUAGAGUAUGGCAGAGGGGGGGUAGAAUUCCACGUGUAGCAGUGAAAUGCGUAGAGAUGUGGAGGAAUACCGAUGGCGAAAGGCAGCCCCCUGGGCCCAAUAC